rnacentral:rRNA from 1 species
GAGUUGAUCCUGGCUCAGAUUGAACGCUGGCGGCAGGCCUAACACAUGCAAGUCGAGCGGUAGAGAGAAGCUUGCUUCUCUUGAGAGCGGCGGACGGGUGAGUAAUGCCUAGGAAUCUGCCUGGUAGUGGGGGAUAACGCUCGGAAACGGACGCUAAUACCGCAUACGUCCUACGGGAGAAAGCAGGGGACCUUCGGGCCUUGACGCUAUCAGAUGAGCCUAGGUCGGAUUAGCUAGUUGGUGAGGUAACUGGCGUCACCAAGGCGACGAUCCGGUAACUGGUCUGAGAGGACUGAUCAGUCACACUGGAACUGAGACACGGUCCAGACU